GAUGAACGCUGGCGGCGUGCUUAACACAUGCAAGUCGAGCGAAGCACUUUGGUUUGAUUCUUCGGAUGAAGACCUUUGUGACUGAGCGGCGGACGGGUGAGUAACGCGUGGGUAACCUGCCUCAUACAGGGGGAUAACAGUUAGAAAUGACUGCUAAUACCGCAUAAGACCACGGUACGGCAUGGUACAGCGGUAAAAACUCCGGUGGUAUGAGAUGGACCCGCGUCUGGUUAGGUAGUUGGUGGGGUAACGGCCUACCAAGCCGACGAUCAGUAGCCGACCUGAGAGGGUGACCGGCCACAUUGGGACUGAGACACGGCCCAGACUCCUACGGGAGGCAGCAGUGGGGAAUAUUGCACAAUGGAGGAAACUCUGAUGCAGCGACGCCGCGUGAAGGAUGAAGUAUUUCGGUAUGUAAACUUCUAUCAGCAGGGAAGAAAAUGACGGUACCUGACUAAGAAGCCCCGGCUAACUACGUGCCAGCAGCCGCGGUAA
rnacentral:rRNA from 1 species